UGGUUAUUGUGGAAAAUUCAAAAGUCACUGCUCAGUGAACUUUGACAUCCUCCAACAAUCUCAUGUCUGGUGUUUACCUUAAAGGAUGGAAAGCAGGGUCUGUAAGAGAUAUUUGCAUAGCUAGGUUCGCGGCAGAAUUAUUUAUGGAAGACAGAAAGUGGAAGCACUUCAAGUGUCCAUCAACAGAUGUCUGGGGCAUCAGUUAGUAAACUUGGUACUGUGGCCAAGCAAGAAUAAGGAAGGAAAGUUUAUUUUGACUCAAGGUUUAAGGUUACAAUCUAUUGUGUUGGGGAAGGCAUGGCAGAAGCAUGACCGAGCUGGUCACACUGUGUCAACUGUCAGGAAGCAGGCAGUGAUGGAAGGUGGUACUCAGCACAUUUUUUCCUCAUUUUUCCUGGAUCCUAGCCUACAGAUGUUUCCACUCACAUUCAUGGUGGGUCUUUCUUCCUCAGUUAGCCCUCUCUGGAAACAUCCUCAUAGACACAACCAGAGUUAUGUCUCCUAGGUGAUUCUAAAUCCAGUCAAGAUGAUAAUGAAGAUUAACCAUCAAAAAUAGAUAAAAUAUCACACACACACACACACACACACACACACACACACACACACACACACACACAUGCUCAUACGCACAAUGGAACAUUACUCAAAUUAAGAUGGAAGACAUCCUAACUCAUGGAUGAACCUUGAAUACAUUAUACUAAAUGGCAUAAACUAGACAACACAUACCAUAUAAUUCCACUUACCUGAGCUACCUAGCAGAGUCAAAUUAAUACAAUUUAAUUGACUGAAUAUAGGAUGGGGAUUGCCAGGGCCAUGGGGAGAGUGGAGGGAAGUUACAGUGUAAUGGGUAUUUAGUCUCAGUUUAACAAGACACAAAGAAUUGUGAAGGUAGGUGACAGUGAUGGCUACCCAGCCUGUGAAUGUGCUUAAUUCUCCUGAACAGAAACAUUUUAACUAUAAAAUUUUCAGAUGCCAAAUUUUAUUUAAUGCAUGCUAUACUAAAGUUAAAACAGGAGUUCGUGCAAGACUAGAUGUGGCUUUCAAAAUCAGCUUGUCCCAUUUGUCCCAUGCGUUGCCAGGCAGCAAAGAGAAAGGUCAGAGUCAGUCAUUUCCUGGGGUACACAUCUGGCUAGUGCUGGGCCUGAGCCAGGUUUCCUGACUCUAACAGUUCUCUCUCUUCCAAGCUUAUUAUCUGUCAGUGUUUUCCUUGAUGACAGGCAGUGUGGAAGUGAGUAGGACAGCAAGCAAGACAACCGCUGCCCUCAUUUGUACGCACUCUCCUUUCCAUAUCCAUCAUUCCACCCCAGUCCAAGCCUUGCUAUAAUCACCUGAGGUACUGAGGUAGUCCCUAAUUGGUGUGACUGUGGGUGAACGUGCUCUCUACAUGUUGCUUUUGAAUAAUACUAAGUAUGUCAUCUCCUUGUUACACAAUUCUCCAUGGUUUCUCAUUUUCUGAACAGAAUGGCAGAAAGAUUUUUUUUUUCAGAGCAACUGAAUCAAUUGGUGAUAAGUAAGUGUAUUCCAAGGCAUCAAGCAACUAGAGACUUCAGAGGGGAGGUGUUUCUGAAGGGUAAAAGAUGGAGAGGAAGUGGACAGACAGGGUAAGAAGGAUUGGGUGGGAGGAGCCCUCACCUUCACCGCAGUCCUGAGCAAAUCCUGGGCAGAUGGACAGACUGUCUUGAACCAGAGACUAACAGUGCCUCUGCGGUCAGUCAUUGGCUUCGAAGAGCCAGCACAAGUAUGGCCAGGGGUAGAUGUCAGGAUAGAUUCAGAUGUGUAGCAGCUGGAGAGGGUCAAUCAGCUGCUGGAGAAUCUAAUAAAGGUUCUUUCGCAGGGAGAUCUGAAGGGACAUCUCCAUGGCAGCAUCAAUACCCUUGGCCUUUGGCAUCUGUACAUCAAGAUGCACUGGGUUGAGAGGCCAUACUUUGGCCAGGGCAGUAUGUCAUAGUCAAUCCUUGGAAUUUCCUUGGCUUUGUGUGGUAGAUGGAUGAAUAUGGGAGGAAAGUUGCACUUGACGUUCCUUUCAUUACUCUAUGAGAGUCAAAUCCUCUCAUCAGCCAUUCAAAGUCAUCCAUUACUGAUCCUUCUGCCCAGUGAAUACUAUGCAUCCCUUGAGGCAAAGGCUACCUCCUCCUUAAGACCUUUUUAUCAUCUGUCUUUCCUCUAAGUCUCACGGCCUCUGGGCCUUCCUUAUGGUGCUUACUGUUAUGUGCUUUGUAUUUCCCAAUUCACAGGCUGUAUUUCUUUCUCUAGAUAACUCCUGAGGCCUGGAUGGAUGCCUCAUUCAUCUUCACAGUGCACUUUUCAUAAUGGUGUACUCUGUCACCACAGCAAUGACAUUGAUGCACAAUCCGACCAGCUUCAUCAUGCUCCUGCUGCCACAUCUUUUCUGCCAUGAUAGAUGGGACCCUCGAACUGUGAGCCAAAAUAAAUCCUUCCUCCCUUAAGUUGCUGUUGUCAGUUCCACAGUCCUCUCCAGAGAGGAGCAGACAAUCAUCCAAAGGCAUGUUCAUCCAAAGGCAUGCCCACCACUCCCAGCUGGAGCCAGACCCCACCACUGGGAGUCAUGCUGCCAUACUCCAGGAUGAAUUCUGAGUGAGGUGAGACCAGAGAAUGAAGGCAACCAUCAAGAAAGAAGACGUUUUCCACUCAGUCAGAAGUGAAAAAUUAUCCAGAGGGCCAGGUUUUGUCUGCAGUCAGAGACAACAGGGCUGGACUUCACCGGGUACAGCCGGCAGGGCAUGUCACCCAGGCUCUUCUGCCUGCAGUAGGACACCUUUGAACUGGUGCUGCUGUGAGUAAAGCCUGCUGGCGCUGUCGUUGAAACUCACGUGUGCAAGAUUGCUCUAUCUUGAAAAGCAGAGCCUGGCUGAGGAGGUCAGGAGUGCUGUGCCCAAGGUACUGAGCCUUCCCCCAGCUGCUCCUGCUGAGGGCAGUCUCCAAAGGGCAUUGCUGAGCUUGGAGAUUUCAGGGCUAUAAACAGAAGCCACGGAUUACCUGAAAGCUGGUUGUGGAUGAAUACAUUCUUUGAACAGCCAUUGCACAAUUUCCCUACCUACAAAAGCCUGACUUAAGGAACAGUUGUCCUGGCCACACUCAGUGAACCUGAAUAUGAUGUAUUCAUCUUAGCCAUAGAAUCAAAUUUUCAAUGCUUUAUAUGGGAAGGUGUUUUAAUAUUUCCUGAUUUCUUUCUAGUUUGUGAAGGCUUUGAAAAAAAUCAAGAAGCCUUUUCCUGUUUUUUGUUAAACUCACUGAUUUACAAGAGAAAGUUUACUUUGUUUUUUAUUUAAUUAGUUUGAAUUGUUUUUAUUUUAUUAUUUCAUGUGUAUGGGUGGUCUGCCUGCCUACCCACAUGUCUGUAUGCUAUGUAUAUACCUGGUGUCUAGUGCCUGGCUUGGGAGAUGGUACAGAAGAAGAUGGUGGGUACCCUGGAAAUGGAGUUACUGUUAGUUGUCAAUUGCCACGUGAGUGCUGGAAACCCAGCUGAGGUCCUGUGAAAAAGCAGCCAGUGCUUUUAACUGCUAAGCCAUCUCUCUAGCCCCAUACUUUGGCCUUUUAGAUGAAAUGUCUAGCAAUAGUUUUAGACUGGCUUCAGUUCAUUGUACGAUCCCUAAGGUUCCAAUGGUUAAUUUUUUAGUGUAAAUAAUGUCAGCUUGAUGCCUGUGGUAGUUUUAAUGCAAUUGGCCCCUAUAAUCUCAUUAUAGGGAGUGGCACUAUUAGGAGGUGUGGCUUUGUUGGAGUAGGUGCAGCCUUGUUGGAGGAAGUGUUUUCCUUUAUAAGAGUUGCCAUGGUCCUGGUGUCCCUUCACGGCAAUAGAAACCCUAACUAAGACACUGCCUUGGAUGCCUAUGGCCAAAAUUGAAAGGAAUAGGACAGAAAGAGAACCCUGAGUGGCAGUAGGGGUAGCACAGGGGUUGGAACCUGGGGAAUGAGUACAGAAUGAGUACAAAGCAGCAUAGGUCAUAGAGAUGCUAGGGAUGGGGUAAGGGGUCAGAGAAGGGAGGGUGGGCAGGCACAUAGAAAGCGAGGCUGUGGCUAGGGGACAGAGAGGGCAGAGCAAGAGGCAAGAGUGAAGGAGUCGGGGAAGCAAGGGAGCAUAGUUUAGCAGUCAGAUUCUAACGAGCCAUCUUUGGGUGCCCACUUUCGUGCACAGUCCUCUACCACACUGAGCAGGGAUGGCCUGUGUAGCCAAGGAGACAGUGCUGUUUCCUCUUUGCACUCUUGGGUCACUUGUUCCAGAACAGUGGGAUGCCUUGUGGAGAAGUUCAAGCAUCCCUCAAGAAAGGCACUUGUGCUUUCAGAGCUUUGGCCUCUUGCCCACAGCCCUGGGGGCUUGCCUUCUGGGAAGCAGCUGCACUGGCUCAACUCUCCAACAUCCAGAAUCCUACAGGCAAAUCCUACAGGAGGAGCCAGGCCAGAACUGCCACCUCUGACCCACAGAUCCUCCUUGAGAUAAUAAAUGUGUAUCUUUAUGUUAAGCCCUCAAGUUUGGGGCUAUUUGGAUCUAUAAACACAGGGGAAACAUGGCUCAAAUGAGAACAGAGAGUCCACAUCCCUGCAAUUUCAGCUCUCCAGGCCUCUCCUGGGCCCUGCCAUGUGUCUUUGAUGAGCUGUGGCUGGAAGCCCCAUGAGCAAUACACAGUAAUGUGGUUUUUAUAAGUUGGAAAUUUUUGCCAAUUUGCUGAAUCAGUCAUUACAGAAAUAGAUCCUCCAUGACCUGACUUCUGGUAGACUGAUUUUCCAUGAAUAAUGUUAAGAGGCAAUACCUCAACUGAUUUUAUACCUGGAAAUCCUAGAACUGGGGUUUUAGAGAGCAUUUGGCUAAGCUAUGUUAAGGUAAGGCUGACAUAAAUGUCAGGGUAGCAGGUGACUGAGGGUGACUUCUCAGAGCCAUAUCAGGUGUCCCACAUCUCAUUGCAUUUAUCUAGGUCAUGGUAAAACAAAAAUAAUAGAUUUACCCUUUGAGAGGCGACAAGACUUACCCUUUCUUGAUUUCUGAUAAUCGAUUAUGUUUGGGAACACAUUGGGCUCUCUGGGAUGAUGAUUAAGAAUGUAAUUUGCAGGUAUAAUAAAAAGAGGAAUUGGAUUCAUAAAUAAAGUCUCUACAGAUGCUUAAUGCUACCUUCAAGAAAUUACAGGUAGAAUUCUCCUGCAAGUCCCAGAUGAUUGACAGCAGGCAAGCCAGCGGCAGCUGCCAGCAUUGUGAAGGGAUUGAAGAAGUCUACUUCACCCGCUGGAGACAAGCAAGGGCAAGACAGGGUUUCUCACACAUCACUGUCCCCCAAGGAUCAAGCCUGGGUAACACUGAUCUGUGGAACCCUCUCUGAGGAGAGGUUAUCAGCCAUUUUUAGGAGUGGAAAGAUGUUUUUAAGAAGGGCUGAAUAGCCGGGUGUUGUUGGCACAUGCCUUUAAUCCCAGCACUCGGGAGGCAGAGGCAGGUGGAUUUCUGUGAGCUCGAGGCCAGCCUGGUCUACAGCUCGAAUUCCAGGACAACCUCCAAAGCAAUACAGAGAAACCCUGUCUCAAAAAAGAAGAAGGGUUGGAGAGAUGGCUCAGAGGUUAAGAGCACUGGCUGCUCUUCCAGAGGCCCUGAGUUUAAUUCCCGGCAACCACAUAGUGGCUCACAACCAUCCGUUAUGACAUCUGGUGCCCUCUUCUGGUGUGCAGAUAUACAUGGAAGCAGAAUGUUGUAUACAUAAUAAAUAAAUAAAAUCGUUAAAAAAAAAGGAGGAGGGAGAGAAGAAGAAGAAGAAGAAGAAGAAGAAGAAGAAGAAGAAGAAGAAGAAGAGGA
rnacentral:lncRNA from 1 species